rnacentral:rRNA from 1 species
AGAGUUUGAUCAUGGCUCAGAACGAACGCUGGCGGCGUGCUUAACACAUGCAAGUCGAGUGCGCGCCUGUAGCAAUACAGGUGGCGCACGGCGCACGGGUGCGUAACACGUGGGUAAUCUGCCCUCUGAUGGGGAAUAACUCGCCGAAAGGCGAGCUAAUUCCGCAUAACAUUCCGGGAACCUUGGUUCCUGGACUCAAAGGCGUAAGUCGUCGGAGGAGGAGCCCGCGCACGAUUAGCUAGUUGGUGAGGUAAUGGCUCACCAAGGCUAUGAUCGUUAGCUGGUCUGAGAGGAUGGCCAGCCACACUGGAACUGAGACACGGUCCAGACUCCUACGGGAGGCAGCAGUGGGGAUCUUGCACAAUGGGCGAAAGCCUGAUGCAGCGACGCCGCGUGGGGGAUGAAGCUUCUCGGGAGUGUAAACCCCUUUCGACCCCGGACGAAUACCUCGCAAGAGGGGUGACGGUACGGGUAUAAGAAGCCCCGGCUAACUACGUGCCAGCAGCCGCGGUAAGACGUAGGGGGCCAGCGUUGUUCGGAAUUACUGGGUGUAAAGGGUUCGUAGGCGGUGUGGCAAGUCGGGAGUGAAAUCUCUGGGCUCAACCCAGAGUCUGCUUCCGAAACUGCUGUGCUUGAGUGUGGGAGAGGCGCGUGGAAUUGCAGGUGUAGCGGUGAAAUGCGUAGAUAUCUGCAGGAACACCCGUGGCGAAAGCGGCGCGCUGGACCACUACUGACGCUGAGGAACGAAAGCUAGGGGAGCAAACAGGAUUAGAUACCCUAGUAGUCC